AGUGAACGCUGGCGGCAGGCCUAACACAUGCAAGUCGAACGGCAGCACAGUAAGAGCUUGCUCUUACGGGUGGCGGGUGGCGGACGGGUGACGAAUACAUCGUAAUCUACUUUUUCGUGGGGGAUAACGUAGGGAAACUUACGCUAAUACCGCAUACGACCUACGGGUGAAAGCAGGGGAUCUUCGGACCUUGCGCGAUUGAAUGAGCCGAUGUCGGAUUAGCUAGUUGGCGGGGUAAAGGCCCACCAAGGCGACGAUCCGUAGCUGGUCUGAGAGGAGGGUCGGCCACACUGGAGCUGAGACACGGUCCAGAGUCCUACGGGAGGCAGCAGUGGGGAAUAUUGGGCAAAGGGCGCAAGCCUGAUCCAGCGAUACCGCGUGGGUGAAGAAGGCCUUCGGGUUGUAAAGCCCUUUUGUUGGGAAAGAAAAGCAGCAGGUUAAUACCCCGCUGUUCUGACGGUACCCAAAGAAUAAGCACCGGCUAACUUCGUG
rnacentral:rRNA from 1 species